rnacentral:rRNA from 1 species
GUGGGGAAUUUUGGACAAUGGGGGCAACCCUGAUCCAGCAAUGCCGCGUGCAGGAAGAAGGCCUUCGGGUUGUAAACUGCUUUUGUACGGAACGAAACGGUCUGGGUUAAUACCCUGGGCUAAUGACGGUACCGUAAGAAUAAGCACCGGCUAACUACGUGCCAGCAGCCGCGGUAAUACGUAGGGUGCGAGCGUUAAUCGGAAUUACUGGGCGUAAAGCGUGCGCAGGCGGUUUUGUAAGACAGGCGUGAAAUCCCCGGGCUCAACCUGGGAAUGGCGCUUGUGACUGCAAAGCUGGAGUGCGGCAGAGGGGGAUGGAAUUCCGCGUGUAGCAGUGAAAUGCGUAGAUAUGCGGAGGAAACCCGAUGGCGAAGGCAAUCCCCUGUGCCUGCACUGACGCUCAUGCACGAAAGCGUGCGGAGCAAACAGGAUUAGAUACCCGUGUAGUCC